CUUACGGGAGGCUGCAGUGGGGAAUUUUGGACAAUGGGGGAAACCCUGAUCCAGCCAUGCCGCGUGCGGGAAGAAGGCCUUCGGGUUGUAAACCGCUUUCGGACGGAAAGAAAUCGCACGGACUAAUACUCUGUGUGGAUGACGGUACCGUAAGAAGAAGCACCGGCUAACUACGUGCCAGCAGCCGCGGUAAUACGUACGGUACGAGCGUUAGUCGGAAUUACUGGGCGGAUUUCGUGAGCAGGACGUUAAAUCCCCGGGCUUAACCUGGGAACUGCGUUUGGAACUGGGAGACUAGAGUGUGUCAGAGGGAGGUGGAAUUCCGCGUGUAGCAGUGAAAUGCGUAUAUAUGCGGAGGAACACCGAUGGCGAAGGCAGCCUCCUGGGAUAACACUGACGCUCAUGCACGAAAGCGUGGGGAGCAAACAGGAUUAGAUACCCUGGUAGUC
rnacentral:rRNA from 1 species